rnacentral:rRNA from 1 species
UGCCAGCAGCCGCGGUAAUACCGGCAGCUCAAGUGGUCGCCGCUUUUAUUGGGCCUAAAACGUCCGUAGCCGGAUCGGUCAACCCGUGGGUAAAUCAACCAGCUCAACUGGUUGAAUUCUGCGGAUACUGCCGAUCUAGGGACCGGGAGAGGUGUGAGGUACCCUCGGGGUAGGGGUAAAAUCCUGUCAUCCUUCGAGGACCACCAGUUGCGAAGGCGCCACACUGGAACGGAUCCGACGGUCAGGGACGAAGCCUAGGGGCACGAACCGGAUUAGAUA